rnacentral:rRNA from 1 species
AUGCUAGAUGGAGCUCCUGAGUUGCCCAGAGUUAUAACCCCCACAAAAGGCUGGAAGGGAAAAGAAGCUGCAUUGUCCUUGGAAUAUCCUAAGAGUCCAAAACAGAGGAGAGCAAAGAGAGUUAGGAGGUCCAUGUACUUCGGUGAAGGAUCAAGUUCAGGUGUUAGUGAUGCUGCAGAAGAAAUGGAAGGAGGACAAAGUAGUGAGGCCGAGGGACAAGAGGAUGUUUCUGAUGAAGAAACAAAUGAGGAGUUUUAUGAUAGUGACUUUGAUGCAGAAGAUGGUGAUGAUGAUUUUUUUGACAAGAAUGUGGACAAAGAAGUUAAUGACCAUAGAGAGUGA